AUUGAACGCUGGCGGCAGGCCUAACACAUGCAAGUCGAGCGAGCGGCGGACGGGUGAGUAAUGUCUGGGAAACUGCCUGAUGGAGGGGGAUAACUACUGGAAACGGUAGCUAAUACCGCAUACCAUCAGAUGUGCCCAGAUGGGAUUAGCUAGUAGGUAGGGUAACGGCUUACCUAGGCGACGAUCCCUAGCUGGUCUGAGAGGAUGAUCCGCCACACUGGAACUGAGACACGGCCCAGACUCCUACGGGAGGCAGCAGUGGGGAAUAUUGCACAAUGGGCGCAAGCCUGAUGCAGCCAUGCCGCGUGUAUGAAGAAGGCCUUCGGGUUGUAAAGUACUUUCAGCGGGGAGGCGUUACCCGCAGAAGAAGCACCGGCUAACUCCGUGCCAGCAGCCGCGGUAAUUC
rnacentral:rRNA from 1 species